rnacentral:tRNA from 1 species
GGGGGUACAGCUCAGUGGGAGAGUGCAUGCUUAGCAUGCAUUAGGUCCUGGGUUCAAUCCCCAGUGCCUCUA